UACGUAGGGUGCAAGCGUUGUCCGGAAUUAUUGGGCGUAAAGAGCUCGUAGGCGGUUUGUCGCGUCUGCCGUGAAAGUCCGGGGCUCAACUCCGGAUCUGCGGUGGGUACGGGCAGACUAGAGUGAUGUAGGGGAGACUGGAAUUCCUGGUGUAGCGGUGAAAUGCGCAGAUAUCAGGAGGAACACCGGUGGCGAAGGCGGGUCUCUGGGCCGAUACUGACGCUGGAGGUGACGAAAGGCGUGGGGGAGCAAACAGG
rnacentral:rRNA from 1 species